rnacentral:rRNA from 1 species
GAUGAACGCUGGCGGCGUGCCUAAUACAUGCAAGUCGAGCGAAUGGAUUAAGAGCUUGCUCCCUGGAUCAGUGGCGAACGGGUGAGUAACACGUGGGCAACCUGCCCCAGACUCUGGGAUAACUCUUCGAAAGAGGGGCUAAUACCGGAUAUUUUGCUUGGAAGACAUCUUCUGAGUCAGAAAGAAUUUCGGUCUGGGAUGGGCCGCGGCCUAUAAGCUUGUGGGUGAGGUAAUGGCGCACCAAGGCAACGACGGGUAGCCGGCCUGAGAGGGUGAUCUGCCAAACUGGGACUGAGACACGGCCCAGACUCCUACGGGAGGCAGUAGUAGGGAAUCUUCCGCAAUGGACGAAAGUCUGACGGAGCAACGCCGCGUGAGUGAUGAAGGCUUUCGGGUCGUAAAGCUCUGUUGUUAGGGAAGAACGAGUGCUAGUUGAAUAAGCUGGCACCUUGACGGUACCUAACCAGAAAGCCACGGCUAACUACGUGCCAGCAGCCGCUGUAA